GCUGCAAGCAAGUAAUUUUGCGCCAUUGAGCGAAGCUGACGCAGGACCCGCGUGUGGGAUGACGAUCUAGCUGCUACACUGCAGUAGGAGAAAUGACGUACUCACAGAGCCCGCUACUACGUGCAGCAGCGCGGUAUACGUAGGGGGCGAGCGUGUCGGAUUUAUUGGGCGUAAAGAGCUCGUAGGCGGUUCAACAAGUCGGUCGUGAAAGUCCAGGGCUCAACCCUGAAAUGUCGAUCGAUACUGUUGUGACUAGGAUACGGUAGAGGUGAGUGGAAUUCCGAGUGUAGCGGUGAAAUGCGUAGAUAUUCGGAGGAACACCAAUUGCGAAGGCAGCUCACUGGGCCGCUAUCGACGCUGAGGAGCGAAAGCUAGGGGAGCAAACAGGAUUAGAUACCCUGGUAGUCCUAGCUGUAAACGAUGGAUACUAGACGUAGGAACUGGAUUGACGGUUUCUGUGUCGCAGCUAACGCGUUAAGUAUCCCGCCUGGGGAGUACGGUCGCAAGACUAAAACUCAAAGGAAUUGACGGGACCCCGCACAAGCGGCGGAGCAUGCGGCUUAAUUCGAUGAUACCCGUAGAACCUUACCUGGACUUGACAUAUAGGGUCUAGCUAUAGAGAUAUAGUGUGCAUUAGCGCCCUAUACAGGUGGUGCAUGGCUGUCGUCAGCUCGUGUCGUGAGAUGUUGGGUUAAGUCCCGCAACGAGCGCAACCCCUGUCCUAUGUUGCCAGCAUUUAGUUGGGGACUCAUAGGAGACUGCCGGUGAUAAACCGGAGGAAGGUGGGGACGACGUCAAGUCAUCAUGCCCCUUAUGUCCAGGGCUGCACGCAUGCUACAAUGGCAAGUACAACGAGUCGCAAUACCGCGAGGUGGAGCAAAUCUCUUAAAGCUUGUCUCAGUUCGGAUAGGAGUCUGCAACUCGACUCCUUGAAGUUGGAGUCGCUAGUAAUCGCAAAUCAGCAAAGUUGCGGUGAAUACGUUCUCGGGGUUUGUACACACCGCCCGUCAAGUCACGGAAGUCGGCAAUACCCGAAGCCAGUGGUCCAACCCUUUUGGGAGGAAGCUGUCGAAGG
rnacentral:rRNA from 1 species